UGGACACUUCAGAGCCCACGCGGACCACACACUCCACACAGACGUGGUUUUUGCUUUUCAACUUUUGUCGUAAAAUGUCUUCACCUGGCCAAAACACGGAGCCAGAGCUUCCUAAAAGCAAAGUGGCCCCUCACAGACUUUCAGAAAGCUUGGACACCUGCCUUGACUGAAAUUCUGUGGCGGGUUUCCAUUGGGAGAGGAUGGUCAAAGUACUGAUUUAUGCAUCUUGAAAAUAGUAAAGCAGCCCAGACCAAGGAAUCAAGAAAUAGUUUUGGAGACAAGAUGGGACCCAAAGACAACUGCUCAAGAUUACAGGAUGGCACCCAGAAACAGGAGUCAUUUCAGUUUGCUGCCUCUUCAGCUGUUCUCCAGGACCUCAGAUAUCUCAUCCCCACAGUAUGAGAGCAUUUAAUGGAACAACUUUGACAAUAAUAACAUGGAUUACA